rnacentral:lncRNA from 1 species
CUAACUCAUCAGAGGCGUCCUCUAGGCCACCCCAGUGCUGGUUUGAAAGGUGUGGUUCCUACAGAAGAGGCCUCAGCCUUCGUAGGUGACCAUGCUGUACCAGGGUCCACCUUCCCACUCUUUCUUUCUUCCCCACUAUCCAAAGGCCCAGAUGGACCAGAACUCCCCUUGCAAUGCUGAACAGUUGAACCAGCUCCACAGGAUUACAUCUGUUUUGGCUGGCUCAGGUGAAUUCCAAUCAGAAAUAAAGCCUCCACUUUUGCUCCUGAAGAUCACUUGAAUUCACUGACAGAACCCCAACAAUGAAAACAAAAACAACUCAAGUUCUAGAAUGAACCCUGAUACAAGAAUUGCAUAACCUGGGAAAUGCAAACUAUGGAACCUGAGCUCAUCACUAAACCUGAGUUUGCUCCCCCCCGCCCCCGGUGGAACGGGAAGGUGAUGAGCCUACUCUGCAAACACAGCCUUGUGAAAAUCAGUGAAGUCAUGCCCGGGAAACCCAUCCCCAGUGCCUGAGUUCCUGAGAGCCAUACACAUCUCCUUAAGUUGUCCACAGUCUUCUGGUGACCGUGUAGCUACAGGGAAGGCUAACCUCUUCACUAUAUCACUCAGUAGGCAACAGGAUGAAGACGAGGAAUCUGGUUCUGCCACACACCAGUGAUAAGCCUGUGACUGGCUGCCUGAGCAGAGAAAGGGCAGUCAAAAUACAGAUGUGGACACACCCUGCUCACCUGCCAAUUCUAACAGCUGGGCCACGUGGGCACAGACAGACCCAAGUCUCCUGCUCAGAAGAUUCCUGAGACAUGACAAUACCAACCAUGGUAACCUCCCCCUCACAAGGGCAAGCAUGUAUGUGAGCUGCCAAAUAUCUGAUAAGAUGGCAUUGUCAAGUUCCACAAUGUCCACAAAGGUGAGAAAAUGAGAGAGGGAUCAGUCACAGGAAAGGGAAUGGAAACUGCAUGUUAUCUUGUUAAAAUCUUGUGCUAUAGCACGAAGGCUUCUUCUACAUGUCCUUGUUUAUACAGGGCUGUUGCCAUUUCUAGAAUGUUUCCCCCCAUGUUGACAUAGGAGACAUAGGAAACUUUGCUGUUUGUUUCCACAUUCUGGCCAAGAAUCCCUCUUGUGGCAGGAGACUGACAUCUUGAUGCCCAAGAAUGGAGAUUUUUCUAAGCCUGGCAUACCCUUACUGUGAUAGACCAGGGGCUAGGGGUGUCUGUGCCCCUUGGAAGCUUAAUGUGAAGGAGCUCUUGGGUAGCAUUUAACUUGGAGCAGACCUUACAAGCAGCCAUUGAUUGAGAUUAGCACUAGAAGACUGUGAGUGGCU